ACCUCCGUGGCGCAAUCGGCUAGCGCGUUCGGCUUUUAACCGAAAGGUUGGUGGUUCGAGCCCAUCCUGGGGCG
rnacentral:tRNA from 1 species